UACGUAGGGUGCAAGCGUUGUCCGGAAUUAUUGGGCGUAAAGAGCUCGUAGGCGGUUUGUCGCGUCCGCUGUGAAAACUCGGGGCUUAACCCCGGGCCUGCAGUGGGUACGGGCAGACUAGAGUGCGGUAGGGGAGACUGGAAUUCCUGGUGUAGCGGUGAAAUGCGCAGAUAUCAGGAGGAACACCGGUGGCGAAGGCGGGUCUCUGGGCAACUACUGACGCUGAGGAGCGAAAGCGUGGGGAGCGAACAGG
rnacentral:rRNA from 1 species